CCAUACUGAGGGUGCGGGCUGUUGGU
rnacentral:piRNA from 1 species